rnacentral:tRNA from 5 species
GUGCCGGUAGCUCAGCGGUAGAGCAGGAGACUCUUAAUCUCUUGGUCGUGGGUUCGAUCCCCACCCGGCGCACCA